CCUACGGGUGGCAGCAGUGAGGAAUAUUGGUCAAUGGACGAGAGUCUGAACCAGCCAAGUAGCGUGAAGGAUGACUGCCCUAUGGGUUGUAAACUUCUUUUAUAUGGGAAUAAAAUGUUCCACGUGUGGGAUUUUGUAUGUACCAUAUGAAUAAGGAUCGGCUAACUCCGUGCCAGCAGCCGCGGUAAUACGGAGGUUCCGAGCGUUAUCCGGAUUUAUUGGGUUUAAAGGGAGCGUAGGUGGGUUGUUAAGUCAGUUGUGAAAGUUUGGGGCUCAACCGUAAAAUUGCAGUUGAAACUGGCAGUCUUGAGUACAGGAGAGGUGGGCGGAAGUCGUGGUGUAGCGGUGAAAUGCUUAGAUAUCACGAAGAACUCCGAUUGCGAAGGCAGUUCACUGGACUGCAACUGACACUGAGGCUCGAAAGUGUGGGUAUCAAACAGGAUUAGAUACCCCAGUAGUC
rnacentral:rRNA from 1 species